UAUUUGUGCCGCUUGUCUUUAGAGAGACCCCUGGGCAUCAACAGAGAUCUAAGGUUACAGGAAAUGAAAACUGAGAGAGAUGUAGGUGGAGACCAGGGCAAGAGGACGAGAGAGGAGGACCUGAGGGCCAGAGACGAUGUCAAGACAGCAGAAGACCAUGAGCUGGCCCACCCCUAUGGACCCAACGGCCUUUACCUCUCCUCUUCACCACUGAGGUCACAGUCUGUUAUGAAGAUUAUACAGUUCACUUAACACAGGCUCUUCUCCAGGAAGCUUAAGUGACUCUCCACGUCCCCCGACUCGGAACCCAGCUGCUGCCUGAACUGCUCCAGCUGCUGCACCAGAGCCUUGUUGAACAUCUCCCCCAUGGGCUCCACAGUGCGCCGGAACUCCUCCACCUGCUGGUCCAGCUGCCUGUUCAGGUCUUCCAGAGACUUCUGCAGCCCCUCCGUGUUGCCCUUCAGCUUGCUUUGCACGUCUUCCACCAGCGGGGCAAGACUCUUCUGCAGCUGGUCGACUUUUGUGGAGACCUUGGUCUGGAGCUCCUCUGCAUUCUUCUUCAUCUGGAAGGCCAGGCCCUCCAUCUGAUGGUUGAGUUUCUCCUGCACGCCCACCGCAAGAGGACCCAGGCUGCUGCGCAGAUCCUCCAGGUUCCGGUCGAUCGUGGCCUUCAGAUCGUUGGCCCGAGGGGUUAGGUGCCCCUUGAGCUCUUCCAUAUUCCUGUUAAACUUGUCCUUUAGCUCGUUGGCAAAGGGCAUCAUCGAGCCCUGCAGGUUGUCCAUAUUCUCCUGUAUCGUGGUCUGCAUGCGCUGGAUGUAGGGGGUCAGCUGGACCUUCAUCUCCUGGGUCUGGGUUUUGAGCUGAUCUUGUAGGUUUGUGGCAUAGGGCUUCAGGUGCUCCUGCAACUUCUUCAUGUUUUCACUGAAUGUCUGGCUUACUGUGCUGGCAUGGGGCAUCAUGCUGGCACGAAGGUCCUCCAGCUCCUUCCGGAGCUCUUCCUUUAUCCUCUCGGUUUCCUUGGUUAGACUUCCACUCAGCUGGACGGCAAAGGGCACCAGCUUGUUUUGCAGGUCAUCGGCAUACGUAUUAAUGUUCCCAAGUUUGUCCUGGAAGAGGGUACUUCAGGGAAAGGAUGCAGAGAAGAAAGUACCAUUAGGUACGCUUGUAGAACACUCAGUUCUACACAUCUGCCUAGGUCAGGAGUCUGUCCACGGGAAUAGAGACCUCCACCUUGUCCCUUUGGCCCUCCCUUGGGGUAGGUCAUGCUUUCGGGAAAUCUCUUAGGAUUAGUUUGACUUUGGAGUUUUAUCUGCAAGGUUUCUGCUGAGCCUCUGCAUCCUUAUCUACCCACCAUGUGACUUGAGAAGUUUGCUUUCCUUUCCUGUGGAUUAAGACUGGGACUGGACUUUGACAUCCCUCUCAGCCCAGGGUCACAUUGUGCAACACAUGUCUUCCAGUGGCACAGGGUCGGUCUGAUGUCCUUGCAUGUGCUCAGUGGGUCCCCAGAAAUA